GACGAACGCUGGCGGCGUGCUUAACACAUGCAAGUCGAACGGUGAAGCGCCUUCCUUUUUGGUGGGUGUGGAUGAGUGGCGAACGGGUGAGUAACACGUGAGUAACCUGCCCCCUUCUUCUGGAUAACCGCAUGAAAGUGUGGCUAAUACGGGAUAUUCUGGGUCUGUCGCAUGAUGGGUCUGGGAAAGAUAUUGUUUCGGUGGGGGAUGGGCUCGCGGCCUAUCAGCUUGUUGGUGGGGUGAUGGCCUACCAAGGCGGUGACGGGUAGCCGGCCUGAGAGGGUGGACGGUCACACUGGGACUGAGACACGGCCCAGACUCCUACGGGAGGCAGCAGUGGGGAAUAUGGCACAAUGGGCGCAAGGCUGAUGCAGCGACGCCGCGGGAGGGAUGGAGGCCUGCGGGUUGUGAACCUCUUUCGCCAGUGAAGCAGGCCUGCCUCGUUUGUGGGUGGGUUGACGGUAGCUGGAUAAGAAGCGCCGGCUAACUACGUG
rnacentral:rRNA from 1 species